rnacentral:lncRNA from 1 species
AAACCCUAGGUGCCAUGUCAUGUUUUCUAAUUGGGCUCAAACUAUUUUGACAAAAAUUGGUCCAAUGCUUACAAGUUUAAUUAAAAAUAUUCUAUACUACUAAGUUACAACAUAAUUAAAUUUAAAAUGCCCAAGUGAGAGUCUUUAAUUUAUUUGGUGUCCAUCCUAAUGCUCCAAAAUAUAUCUCCAAAAUUUUCCCUGCAGUUAAAAAUGCAAAUAAUUA